rnacentral:lncRNA from 10 species
GGGCACAAAAGAUUGGUCAGACCAAGUGUGUCAUUUGCAUAAGGCGCAAAAAACUUGUUAGGACUAGGUGUACAUUUGCAUAGUGCACGGGAACGGGGCUGCCCCCACCCUAAUCUUUUAUCACGCAGACGUGUUCGCUUCCUGACCUGCGCCAUGUUGCCUGUUUCUUUACUGUACAUGUGCUGACGAAGAAAAGGGAAGAUGGAGCCUCCAUGUUGAACAUGCCUGGCCCUCAGAUGGAGUCUUGUCCUAUCGCCCAGGCUGGAGUUCAAUGGUGUGAUCUCGGCUCACUGCAACCUCCGCCUCCCGGGUUCAAGGAAUUCUCCUUCCUCAGCCUCCCGAGUACCUGGAAUUACAGGUGCACACCACCACGCCCAGCUAAUUUUUUGUAGAUUUAGUAGAGACAGUGUUUUACCAUGUUGGCCAGGCUGGUCUCAAACUCCUGACCUCGUGAUCCGCCUGCCUCAGCCUCCCAAAGUGCUAGGAUUACAGGCGUGAGUCACUGUGCCAGGCCAGUAAUUCUUUUUAAAUCAUGCUUGUUUGCUACAUAACUUGUCAGAAAUUGGUUAACUCAACCUAAGGAGUACGCUACCCUUAUUACUAUCCCCCUAAAAAGAAAAUCUGACAAAAGUGAGAUUUUUUUUCUGAAGUUGUGAAUUAUUUUAUGUACUUCAAGGCUUGAUAAUUUAUCCAUAAGUGUAUCAUCAUAAGGUCUCACAUCCAGAUCACGCUGAUUCAAGAGGUGGAUUCCCAUGUUCUUCGGCUGCUCCACCCCUGUGACUUUGCAAGGUUUGCUAUGAAGAAAGCCAUCAUUCUACCAUCAAAAUACAUUUAUGAAGAUGAAGUGAGAUUGGCAAAGAGAAAACUGAAUGUCCCUGAAUAAAACCUCUGUAUCUGGAUAAUUACGUUUCUGUGAAUCAUUUUUGAGAAGUUUGUACAUUUCAAGAUUUCAUUUUGGAACUGAAAUGAAAAUGAAAGAAUCUGUUCUUAUAAGAUUUGCAGAAAUUCUUCUGACUGAAAUGGUCUAGAUGGCUGAUACAAGUACAUGAACUUUUUCACUUUUUCAUAAAGCCUCUUCUGCCUCCGUUACUUUGCCAGCCAUCUACCUUGCAGCUGUUAUGUCUGACUUCAUUCUUGAUUUCUCCCACCUGAUUUCUUUCUUUCUUUCUUUUUUUUAAGUCCACUUUAUUUCUCUUGCUAAUCACACUCCUCUCCUUUCUCCUGGAGGUAAUCAUGAUCUGACUUUUAUGUUAAUCAUUCUCACUUUUUCUUUUCUUUCUUCUUCUUUUUUUUUUCAGUUAUACUUUGAGUUCUGGGAUACAUGUGCAAAACGUGCUGGUUUGUUACAUAGGUAUACAUGUGCCAUGGUGGUUUGCUGCACCCAUCAACCCGUCAUCUACAUUAGGUAUUUCUUCUAAUGCUAUCCCUCCCCUACCCCACAACCCCUGCUUUCUUAUUACAAACUUUUGUGUCUGACUUCACCAAAGUAUGAGCUUUUUACUCAUUUCUCAACGUAUUGCAAACAUGGAGGCCAAAACCCUCUUUUGAUUAACGUAACCUCUUUUCAAGAUUUCCAAUAUUCGAGCUUCCUCCUCUCUAACCUGAUCAAACUCUAUUUACAUCUUCUUUCCUAGUUGAUCUGAUUACAGUAGAGACUUAAUUUUUAAAAAUUAUGUCUGAGUAAAACUAGUGUUAUCUAUCAGUAGGCAUUAUAAUACAAAAGUGCUGGGAAGCACUUUAAAUAAUGCCGAAGGGAGGAAGGGAAGUGCUGGGUAGAGGAGAGUGUGGUCCCUGGCUAAGGCUCCACCCCCACAGACCUAAGUGAAGACAGACACUCCUGCCUUCCCACUCAAAUGUUACAUUUCCCAAGACCACCCUGGCUCACCACACCCCCAUCCUGGGCCUAUAAAAACCCGAGAUCCUAGCAGGCAGGCACAGAGGUGGCCAGACAUCCAGAGGAGCACAUCCGCAGAAGAAAAAGCAAGGGGAUGUGGAGAGGAGCAUGUCAGCAGUCACCUGCUCACCAGCGAGCCAUCGACCAGCAGAACAACGCGAAGUUGGGCCGGGGCAGUGGAGGAGAGCCCGAGCCGCCAGCGGCCCGACUCCAGGUGAAAACCAUUUCCCUUCUGGCUCCCCGCUCUGCUGAGAGCUAUUUGCACUCAAUAAAACCUUGCACUCAUUCUCCCAUCCCACAUAUGAUCCGAUUCUUCCUGUACACCAGAGCGAAAGCCCUGGGAUACAGAAGUACCUCUGUGCUUGUGAUAAGGAAAGGGCUGUAAUUGAGCUGGUUAACACAAGCCGCCUAUAGAUGGCAAACUAAGAGAGCGCCCCGUAACACGCGCCCACUGGGGCUUCAGCUCUAAAUAUUCACACCUAGACACUGCCAUGGGGUCGGAGCCCCACAGCCUGCCCUUCUGUAUGCUCCCCUAGAGGUUUGAGCAGUGGGGCACUGAAGAAGCGAGCUCCCAUCGCACGUCCUGCGAGAGGGACAAGGGAAACUUUCCCGUUUCAAUUAUUGUAUAUCACUCACUUCUUUUGCUCAUUUCUAUUUUUGAAAUAAUUUUCCAUGUAUCUGGCAGAGUUUUGUGAGGACGUUAGUUUACUGAAAACUAUUUUGUGUAAUAUAUUGUUGACUUGGGAAAGUUUGUUUAUCGGGCUUAUUUCUGGGAGCAGAUCAAAAUUUUAGUGGAAUGUCGUGUAUAUGCUCUUUGAGCACUGGGAAAGAAUGUGUGUUCAGCUGUUAUUGAGUAGAGUGUUCUAAAAAUAUGAAUUAGCUCAAGUUGGUUGACAGUUUUAUUCAGGUCAUCUACAUUCUUAUUGGCCUAAUACUCAUUUGUUCUGUCAAAUACUGAGGAAAGGUAUUGCAGUUGCCAACCAUAAAUUUAUCAAUUUGCCUUUCCAAAUCCAUUUUUGUCACGUGUGUUUUGAAAUUCUAUUGUUAGAUACACUUACGUUUAGAAUUACUAUAUCUUUUUGAAAAACUAUCCCUUUUAUCAGUAUGUAAUGACUCUCUUUAUCCCUGAUCAUAUUUUUUUUCUGAAAUUUAUUUUUUCUGAUACUAAUAUAACUAUAUCUGUUCUCGGAGUUAGUGUUUGUAUGGUAUAUUCCUUUUACAGCCUUUAGUUUUUAGCCUAUGUUUUUAUAUUUGGAGUGAGUUUUGUUAAAAAAAAAAAGCUUAUGUUUUUAUCAGUUUAUAUGGUAUUCAGCAGCUUGUGUUCCAAGUAAAUAGUUUGUUUCUAUUCAGGUAUCUGUCCCAUUCUGAAUUUGAGGUUAGUUGUUUGCCAUGUGACUCCAGUUUUUUGAUGGAUUCAAGGAAUAUUAUUAAACGUGCUUUGACCCACUUUUUUCUGGUUAUGAAGGUAUAAGUUAUGAUACAUAUAUAUACAAUUUAUGUGGCUUUUUAUUUUUUGUAGGUAUUUCAGUACAGUGUUAAUUACGGUGAUACUAAACAUCUUUAUAUUCUUUUCUCAUUUCAAGGAGUAAGCUUUAAAUAUUUCUUCAUAAGCUGGAAAGCCUUUUCCUAUUUAUUUUCUAGAAGAGUUUGUGUAAAUUGGUGUUAGUUAUCCCUUCCUUAAAUAAUUAGUGGAACUCAAUGAUACAGUUUUCUGUGUCUAGAUUUUUUUUAGUGUGUGUAAAUAUUUAUUAUUAAGUGUAUAAUUAAGUUAAUAAAUACAAAACUAUUUUCAUUGUAGUUCUUUUGAAUGGAUUUUGUGGUGUUUUCUAGAAAGACUGUCAUUUCAUUUAAAAUUCAUUUCAUUUGAAAAUAAUUUUUCAUAAUAUCCUACAACUUUCUGAUUAAUACCUAAAAAAUGUAUAAUGGUGAUACUUUUUUCUUUUUUUCUUUCCUGAUAUUAAUUUCUGCCUUUCUCUUUCUUAUCAUAUUUGCCACUGGUUUAUUAAUUUCAUUCUUUUUUUAAAAAACAACUUUGGGCUUUGUUGAUACUUAUUUUACAUUUGUAUUAUAGUUUAUUGUUAUUUUUAUACUUAUUUCCAUAGUUUUGUGGGAAACAGGUGGUAUUUGGUUACAUGAGUACAAUUUAGUAUGUUUUGCUAUUUUCUUUGUUAUUUAAUAUUUUCUAAUACCUUUAGUUUUUGAGAUCAAUACACUCCUCAAUAUAUUAGUUUUCAGCCAUUCAUUUUCACAAAUUUGUUUAUGGAUGUAAAUUUUCCUCUAAACACUUGAUUUGUAGCAUUGUAUAGGUAUUGAUAUAACAUUUUUUCAUUAUCUUUCAAUUAAUAUAUUGUCUAAUUCUAAUUGUUAUUGAUUCUUUAGACCAUGGAUUAUUUAUAAAUGUGUUGUUAACUUUCCUAAUAAUUACGGAUUUCUUGUUAUUUUCUUACCCAUUUCUAUGUGCUUUCAGGAGUAGAGACAGACAAUUAUCUGUAAGCUUUUUAUUCUUUGAAAUUUGAUGAGAUUAGAUUUAGGUUCUAGAACCUAUAUAUGUUCUAGGAUUAUUUGGAGAUAUGUUUCACAUGAAUAUGAAAAGAAAUUGCUAUGCACAGUGUUUUAUAAAUGGCAAUUCAAUAAAAACUUUUACUUUUUAAAAAAAUCUUCUAUAUCCUUACUGAAUUCUUAAUAUAUUUUCUCUAAGUUACUGAGAAAAAUGUGUUAAAUCUCAUUUGCUGUUGUUGAUUUUUCUAUUUCUCCUCAUCCUAUAAAGUGUUGCUUUUUAUAUUUAGCAGUAUGUUUACAGGGCUAUAGUACAAUUG